AAGUAGUGUGUGAAAUGAAGAAGAAAAUUGUGAGAUGAUUUCAGGUGAACAUCUUUCUAAAUCCUUUUAUUCAAACCAUUUGAGACGGGGUCUCGCUCUGUUGCCCAGGCUGGUCUCAAACUCCUGGCCUCAAGCAAUCUUUCCGCGUUGGCCUCUGAAAGUAUUGGGAUUGCAGGUGUACGGCACCACUCCCCGCCCUAAAUGAAAUUUUAGAUGGAGUCCCAUUGUAUCAAAAAGAGGAAAGUAGGGAUCCGUUUGGGUUGAACCUGGGAAGGGGGUUGCCUUCCCCGUCCCACUUCUUAAGGUGGUCCCUGAAGACCAGGGGAACCCUGUAGCUCCUCAGAAACAGUUGUAAAACCACCGGCCUCAGUGUCACGGAAGUCACUCCAGAGGUCUGCACUCUCUCAGCGGCAUGAGCUGUUUCUCCUGCGCUACACAGUCUGUUCGCGGCGUGCUUCCAUCCUACAGGAAGGCUAAAAUGGACCCUGGGUACCUUUGACCGGAGCGUGACCCUGCUGGAGGUGUGCGGGAGCUGGCCUGAGGGCUUCGGGCUGCGGCACAUGUCCUCCAUGGAGCACACGGAGGAGGGCCUCCGGGAGCGACUUGCCGACGCCAUGGCCGAGUCACCCAGCCGGGACGUCGUGGGAUCCGGAACAGACACAGCCCUUGACGUAGCAGUAAAAACCUUCCCCCCUGAGAGACACGUGGCUGUGAAGUGUUUUGAACUUCAGCGAGAGGGAAGCAUCGAGACUCUGAGUAACAGCUCAGGCUCCACCAGCGGCAGCAUACCAAGAAACUUUGAUGGCUACCGAUCUCCGCUGCCCACCAAUGAGAGCCAGCCCCUCAGCCUCUUCCCGACUGGCUUCCCGUAGGUACCAGCAACCUGCUUCUGACUGGCCAGCCCCCUCCCCUGCUGGAGGAGGGGAGAA
rnacentral:sRNA from 1 species